AGCNGGNGNCACCCUAUANAUGCAAGCUCGAGCGGCAGCACGGGUACUUGUACCUGGUGGCGAGCGGCGGACGGGUGAGUAAUGCCUAGGAAUCUGCCUGGUAGUGGGGGAUAACGCUCGGAAACGGACGCUAAUACCGCAUACGUCCUACGGGAGAAAGCAGGGGACCUUCGGGCCUUGCGCUAUCAGAUGAGCCUAGGUCGGAUUAGCUAGUUGGUGAGGUAAUGGCUCACCAAGGCGACGAUCCGUAACUGGUCUGAGAGGAUGAUCAGUCACACUGGAACUGAGACACGGUCCAGACUCCUACGGGAGGCAGCAGUGGGGAAUAUUGGACAAUGGGCGAAAGCCUGAUCCAGCCAUGCCGCGUGUGUGAAGAAGGUCUUCGGAUUGUAAAGCACUUUAAGUUGGGAGGAAGGGCAGUUACCUAAUACGUNAUUGUUUUGACGUUACCGACAGAAUAAGCACCGGCUAACUCUGUGCCAGCAGCCGCGGUAAUACAGAGGGUGCAAGCGUUAAUCGGAAUUACUGGGCGUAAAGCGCGCGUAGGUGGUUUGUUAAGUUGAAUGUGAAAUCCCCGGGCUCAACCUGGGAACUGCAUCCAAAACUGGCAAGCUAGAGUAUGGUAGAGGGUGGUGGAAUUUCCUGUGUAGCGGUGAAAUGCGUAGAUAUAGGAAGGAACACCAGUGGCGAAGGCGACCACCUGGACUGAUACUGACACUGAGGUGCGAAAGCGUGGGGAGCAACAGGAUUAGAUACCUGGUAGUCACGCCGUAACGAUGUCACUACCGUUGGAGCUUGACUCUNAGUGGCGCACUACCAUAAUUNACGCCUGGGANUCGCGCAGUAACUCAAUNAUNNNGGGCCCNAGCGUGACUUGUUAUCACACCNAACUCCGCUGNUCANANNUNAAAAANCUCGACUNACGGNCGCUCCCCCGCGANUGUANCUNACNCUUCUUUCCCUAGGCUAANCGAACNAGGNACAUNGCUCGNCCCAGGAGNCCGAUANNCANNCNGAAUNAAAUUCCCCCNCCCNNNGGGGNGGGNGGGAAAAAAA
rnacentral:rRNA from 1 species